UCCUCUCAAAUCAAGCCAAACGCUCAACGGCGGAAUUUUUGGAAAGACUGGCAGUUAUUGAUGAUCCCGGUAGCCGAUCCUAUCAGAAGGGCCAGAGGUCCAUGUCCAUGUAAGCAGCCCACCUUCAAGAAAGGGUCAAGAGAAAAUCUGAAGUGCAGGAGCCUUUAUCAAUAUAUAAACCAUGAGUUCCCACUUCCAGACAGCCAUCACUUACAGGAGACACCCAACA